GAUGAAGAACGCAGCGAAAUGCGAUAAGUAGUGUGAAUUGCAGAAUUCAGUGAAUCAUCGAAUCUUUGAACGCACAUUGCGCCCCUUGGUAUUCCAUGGGGCAUGCCUGUUCGAGCGUCAUUUGUACCUUCAAGCUCUGCUUGGUGUUGGGUGUUUGUCUCGCCUCUGCGUGUAGACUCGCCUCAAAACAAUUGGCAGCCGGCGUAUUGAUUUCGGAGCGCAGUACAUCUCGCGCUUUGCACUCAUAACGACGACGUCCAAAAGUACAUUUUUACACUCUUGACCUCGGAUCAGGUAGGGAUACCCGCUGAACUUAAGCAGAUCAAUAAGCGGAGGA
rnacentral:misc_RNA from 1 species